rnacentral:lncRNA from 1 species
GUGGAUGAUGGUAAAUUGGUGGGGGUGGAUGAUAUGCUUGUGGUGGAGGUGUUUUCACAUAAGGCGAUUUAUACACUGGUGGUAGUUUUUCAUGAGGAGGUUGAUACUUUGGCAUUGGCUUUUCAUGACGCGGUGGGUUAUAAUUUGGUGGUAAUUUCUUAUGAGGUGGCGCAAACUCUGGUGGUGGAUUUUCAUGUGGUGAUUUUUCGUGAGGAGGUUGAUACUUUGUUGAUGGAGGUGGUGGUUGGUACUCUGGCAACGAGAUUUCUUGUGGUGGUUUUUCAUGAGGUGGGUGAUGCGUAGGUGGUGUAUUUUCAUGAGGUGGUUUCUCAUGUGGAGGUUUGUACUCUGGAGGUGGAUUUUCUUGUGGUGGUUGGUACUCUGGAGGGGGAUGUUCAUGUGGUGGUUUUUCAUGAGGUGGUUUGUAUUCUGGUGGUGGAUGCACAUGUGGUGGUUGGUUCUCUGGAGGCGGAUGUUCAUAAUGAGGUGGUUUUUCAUGAGGUGGUUGAUACUCUGGUGGUGGAUUUUCAUGAGGUGGGUUCUCAUGCGGAGGUUGGUGCUCUGGUGGUGGAUGCACAUGAGGUGGUUGAUAUUCUGGUGGUGGAUGUUCAUGUGGUGGCUUUUCAUGAGGUGGUUGGUACUCUGAUGGUGGCUUCAUUUGUGGUGGUUUCUCAUGAGGUGGUUGGUACUCUUGUGGUGGUGGUUCAUAUGGUGAUUUUUCAUGAGGUGGUUUUAGAUAAGGAGGUUGGUACUCAGGUGGUGGAUGCACAUGUGGCGGUUUUUCGUGAGGUGGUUGGUACUCCGGCGGUGGAUGUUCAUGAGGUGGUUGAUACUCUGGUGGUGGAUGCACAUGUGGUGGUUUCUCAUGAGGUGGUUGAUACUCAGGUGGUGGAUGCUCAUGUGGUGGUUUCUCGUGAGGUGGUUGGUACUCUGGAGGUGGAUGUUCAUGCGGUGGUUUUUCAUGAGGUGGUUGAUACUCUGGUGGUGAACUUUCAUGUGGUGGUUUUUCGUGAGGUGGUUGGUAUUCUGGCGGCGGCUUCUCAUAAGGUGGUGUAUACUCAGGUGGUGGCUUUUCAUGAGGUGGCUGGUACUCAGGCGGUGGUUUUUCAUGAUGAGGUGGUUGAUACUCUGGUGGUGGUUUCUCAUAAGGUGGUUUGUAUUCUGGCGGUGGGUUCUCAUAUGGUGGUUUUCCAUGAUGAGGUGGCUCAUAUUCUGGUGAUGGAUUCUCACGAGGUGGUUGAUAUUCUCGUGGUGGCUCUUCAUGUGGUGGUUUCUCAUAUGGUGGCUCGUACACCGGAGGUGGCUUCUCAUGUGGAGGAUGGUAUAUUGGUGGUGUGUGGGCCGGAG